rnacentral:rRNA from 1 species
UGGAACUUUAUUAUAUUGGUUUGUCUUUCGAUGAACUAUAUAAUGGGUUUCUUCCUACUAGAGUUCGAUUCUGUUCUUAACUGAAUGGAGUAGCUAUCUCUCGGGGUAGUCAGUUGGUUAUUAUGUCUCCACUAAUAAGCAGAGAGGAGUAAAAUCUUCAAAGUAAGUUAUGUGGAUCAAGGUAUAGUGAUUAAUUGGAGUUCUAGUUCAUUUACUUUGAGAAAAUUAGAGUGUUUAAAGCAGCCUCUUGGGGCACUGAAUACAUUAGCAUGGGAUAAUAGAAUAGGAUUUGAUAACCUAUUUGUUGGUUUGAGUUAAUCAAAUAAUGAUUAAUAGGGACAGUUGGGGGCAUUCAUAUUAAAUGGUUAGCGGUGAAAUGUGUGGACCCAUUUAAGAUGAACUAAAGCGAAAGCAUUUGCCAAGGAUGUUUUCAUUAAUCAAGAACGAAAGUUAAGGGAUCGAAGACGAUUAGAUACCGUCGUAGUCUUAACUAUAAACUAUGCCG